CUCCGCUUCCAGCGUCCCCCAGAACGCGGAGAGGCAGCCUGAGUCUUACUCUCCCACCACAUCAAUUCCCAGCACCGUGGGCCCCGGGGCCACUUUAUUUUUUGUAUUUUUUUGAGAUGGGGUGUCUCUGUCGCCCAGGCUGGAGUCCGGUGGUGCGAUCUCGGCUCACUGCAACCUCCGCCUCCCGGGUUCACACCAUUCUCCUGCCUCAGCCUCCGGAGUAGCUGGGGUUACAGGCCCCCAGUCCACUUUCUUGGAGUCUGCUGUGUCUGACCAAAAAGCCCAUCUUCGCCACAUCUAAAGCUGGAAGUUCAUUUGCCAGCGUUGUUUAGAGCAAAAAGAGAUGGGAUCUCGUUAUUUUGCCCAGGCUUGUCUCAGCCUCAGUGAUCCAUUCACCUCGGCCUCCCAAAGUGCCGGGAUUACAGAUGUGAGCCACCACAGUCAUCUCUCUGGCAGCUUUGAAAGCCUAUAUCGCCUGUUUACAUCUUGUCAGCUACAGCAUCUGAAGUGUUUUCUUUCAAGGAGUAUCCACCUUUUGAGAUGGAGCCCACCAACUAAUAUGGAAGCUGAAAAAUGACCAGCUCUUGUCUCCUCAAACUCCCUGGCAGCUGGGGAGUAUAGAUACACAAUCGGGUUCUGCCAGCCCAACAGACCCACUCCUGCACCUUGAACCUGCUGGGCUGCUGACCUGAGAAGCAGGGCCAUGCGGAAUCCACAGAGCAAGGUGGGGGUGUCCAAGGGCACGUGCAGCCAAGGGGCACGUCAUUGCUGCAGCUACAUCUGGUUUCAAAGGCAGUCGUUUUUAAAGUGCCUGCGACUGCCGGCAGGAAUGUAAAUUAGUACAACUUUUAUGGAAAACAAUAUGGAGAUUUCUCAAAGAACUAAAAAUACAGCUACUUUAUGAUCAGCAAUCCCAUUGCUGGGUAUCUACCAGGUACUGGGUAUCUACCUAAAGGAAAAGAAAUCAUUAUAUUCAAAAUCUCUGCACUCAUGUUUUUCACAGCACUGCUCACAAUAGCUAAGAUAGGGAACCCACCUAAGUGUCCAUCCACAGAUGAAUGUCUUCAUAUACAGAAAAUGUGGUGUAUGUACACCAAGAAUACUACUCAGCCAUAAGAAAGAAUGAAAUCAUGUCUUUGGCAGCAACAUGGAUAGAACUGGAGGCCAUUACACUAAGAGAAAUAACUCAGAAACAGGGAGUCCAAUACCGCAUGUUCUCAUUUAUAAGUGGAAGUUAAACAGCGGGUACACACAGAGACACAGUGUGGAAUAACAGACAUCGGGGACUACACACGGUGAGCUGAUAGAAGGGGGUGAGGGCUGAACAUUUACUACUGGGUACCAUGUUCACUGUUCAGAUGUCAGGGAUGCCAAAUCCCAGGCUCCACCGCUAUGCAGUAUCUGCAUGUGAGAAACCUGCCCCUGUACUCCCUGCUUCUAUAAAAAAAUUAAUAAAAACAUGUUUAAUAUGUAAUUUUGAAAAAUAAAAAAUUUUUUAAAAUGUGUCUUACGUGGGGAUAUCAGCAGUGCAAGCCACCAUGUCUGUGCCCAGCAGCAGCAGCUGUGAAGUGUUCACUGUUGGGAAAAAAACUUCUCCACUACCAACUUAGUUCCGCCGACUGGGGGCCUGCAAGUUAACUGAUGAUAGAUUAACAGGAGAAACAUGCAUUGCACCUGCAGGAGUACCCUGUAGAGAGAGCAGCUCCCAGAACGUCUGGGAGUAAAGAGCAUACAUUAGCUUAAGUAAGGAAUCCGGGGUAUGUUAGGGCAUGAAAGGAUGGAGGGUUCUGAUGAGGCUUGUUUAUGCAAUGUUUUUAGAAUGGACUGGAGCCCACGGUGAGUGCCACUCUGAGUGGAGACCAGGGGUAGGGGCAGGGAGCAGCUGCGGUGGCCGACCCUCUAAAAGCUCUGCACUAGUCAGAUAAGAGAAUUUCAGAUAUGAUUUCUUUCUGCAUCUUCUGAAGCUCAUAUGUUGUCACUUUGAAGUAAUUUCUGUACCAGUUUGGGAGGUUGUUGGUCUCUUCAUACUUACCUUGCAGUGGGAUUUGGAACACUCUUAGUGGCACAGUUUUCAAUUCUACAGGCUCUCCUAUUCUGUAAGUUCCUAAAAUAUUUUUACGAAUAUGGUUUACUAUACAAAUAAUUUAUUUGCUUUCAGUAGCCUUUAUCUCUGAAAACAAUUACUGCAUUUAAAGACAAAUUGAAGGCAUGUAAUGACGAAAAUUUAGAAGCACUUCCAUUAUAAUCAGAACCAGAACAAGGAUGAUUACUAUUUCUGUUCAUAUUUAACAUUAUCCUAGGUAAUGUCCUUGACAAGAACAUUUUAAGAGGUAAAAUAAUCACAAAUGAAGAGACACAGGCAUUUAUUAUUUGCAC
rnacentral:lncRNA from 10 species